AUGAAAAUAGACCUAUCUUCUCUUUCUUGGGCGGGGCACCAAAUUCAUGUAUCUUUACCAAUUAACCAAUUUCUUGAUGCUGGGGUGGAUCCUAAAGAGAUACCACUUCCUCAUGAAUUUAUCUUGAAUCGGGACCUUUUGGCUCAACUUUAUCCUAGUUUUGCCGAAGGAGCAACCCCUUUUACUUUAAAUUGGUCCAAAUACGCAGAAUUUCUGACUUUUUGUGGAGGACUAGAUCCAAUAACCGGUGGUCUCUGGCUGACCGAUAUUGCGCACCAUCAUUUAGCUAUUGCUAUUCUUUUCCUAAUCGCAUGUCAUAUGUAUAGGACCAAUUGGGGUAUUGGCCAUGGACUUAAAGAUAUUUUGGAGGCUCACAAGGGCCCAUUUAUAGGACAAGGCCAUAAUGGUCUUUAUGAAAUCUUAACAACGUCAUGGCAUGCUCAAUUAUCUCUUAACCUAGCUAUGCUAGGCUCUACAACCAAUGUUGUAGCUCAUCAUAUGUAUUCUAUGCCUCCCUAUCCAUACCUAGCUACUGACUAUGGUACACAACUUUCCUUGUUCACACACCACAUGUGGAUUGGCGGAUUUCUAAUAGUCGGUGCUACUACACAUGAUACAAUUUUUAUGGUAAGAGACUAUGAUCCGACUACUCAAUACAACGAUCUAUUAGAUCGCGUCCUUCGACACCGCGAUGCAAUCAUAUCCCACCUUAACUGGGUAUGUAUAUUUCUAGGUUUUCACAGUUUUGGCUUGUACAUUCAUAAUGAUACCAUGAGUGCUUUAGGCCGUCCACAAGAUAUGUUUUCGGAUACUGCCAUACAAUUACAACCUAUCUUUGCUCAAUGGGUACAAAAUAUCCAUGCUACUGCGCCUGGCGUCACAGCUCCUGGUGCAACAACAAGUACUAGCUUAACGUGGGGAGGCAGCGAGUUAGUAGCACUAGGUGACAAAGUGGCUUUGUUACCUAUUCCAUUAGGAACCGCAGAUUUUUUAGUCCAUCACAUUCUUGCAUUUACCAUACAUGUGACUGUAUUAAUACUUUUGAAAGGUGUUUUAUUUGCUCGGAGUUCCCGUUCGAUACCCAAUAAAGCAAAUCUAGGUUUUCGCUUUCCUUGCGAUGGGCCUGGCCGAGGGGGAACAUGUCAAGUGUCCGCCUGGGAUCAUGUUUUCUUAGGUUUAUUCUGGAUGUACUAUGCAAUUUCGGUAGUCAUUUUCCAUUUCAGUUGGAAAAUGCAGUCGGAUGUUUGGGGUAUUAUAAGUGAUCAAGGGCUGGUAACUCAUAUUACAGGGGGAAACUUUGCACAGAGUUCCAUUAAUGUUUGGGGUACUAUAAGUGAUCAAGGGGUGGGCACAGCAUCGCAAGUCAUUCAGUCUUAUGGUUCUUCAUUAUCUGCAUAUGGUCUUUUUUUCUUAGGUGCUAAUUUUGUCUGGGCCUUCAGUUUAAUGUUUUUAUUCAGUGGCCGUGGUUAUUGGCAAGAACUCAUUGAAUUUAUCAUUUGGGCUCAUAACAAAUUCAAAGUUGCUCCUGCUACUCAGCCUAGAGCCUUGAGCAUUAUACAAGGACGUGCUGUAGGAGUAACCCAUUACCUUCUGGGUGGAAUUGCCAUGACAUGGGCAUUCUUCUUAGUGAGAAUUAUUGCAGUAGGAUAG
rnacentral:rRNA from 1 species